UCGGUUAAUUGAGUGGUUGCCACUGCCCCUUGCUGCUGGAACAUCAUGGUUGUGCUUCCCUUCAUAGGUUGUUAUCACUGACCUUAUGUCUUGUGAUGCCCUUUCCACAUGUUUUCUUACUGGACAUCCCGUACUUGUGCAUUUGUAGUAGCUCCUGUUUCAUAGUACCCCAAGAUUCAUUUUCGAUUUCCAAAUUAAGGAACUUCCAAACUUGUUAAAAAAUUUGAGCCAAAUUUAUGAUCAAAGAUAAGGUUAUUACCUGGGAUUAGGAUUUCCUUUCACUACUUUUUGACCAUACUUCCUCCAUCUAUAACCAUCAUCUAGGAUAUCGAUAUCACUUGUAGUUUGAACUACAACUCUAGGUUCUCUAACUGUCCUACUCCCUCCUAGUGCAGAUAGACCUUCACUUUCGUUUUCUCUUUUCCUGAAAACAAGAAAUUCAACAAAGUUAAAAAUGUUAACAUUAGUCAAAAAUUGGAUUCAAGAUUACUACAGUACAGACCUCUCUAUAACAACAUUUCACUAUAACAAUGAUGUUUCAUUUCAUGUGGAAGAGAUCAUUCAUGUUAUGUUAUAUUAUAUGUUCUUUAUAACAAACAUUUUACUAUAGCAAUCAAAAAAUAUCGGAACAAACGAUAACGAUGAUGUAAUAGAAAUAUUUGACUAUACAUGAUAUAUUAUUGUUUCACUUACCAUCUUUUUGAGUCUGGUUCCUCUUCAUCAAGAUCAUCUCCUCUUGACCUACUACUCUUUUGAGAAGUGUGCUCAUGAUCAUCAUCCCCAAAUGAAAUAGAAGAAUUCUCAGGUGUUGCAACCGAAUCCAUUUGUCCAUUUGAACCAUAGGAUUGAUGAUCUGGGAUUUCAUUAGUUUGUGUAUUGUAUGAUUGGAUUGCAGAUGAAGCUGUGGAUGACGACGAUCUUCUGGUUGACUGAGGCUUUGGAUGGUUGUGAUUACCCUUGUACACAAUUUCAGUAAUUUGACCAUCUAAAGAUCUCUCAACCUUCUUCUUGGUGGGACAAUUUGGGUAUGUACACUUGUAGUAGCUUCUUGGAUUUUCACUACCUUUUACUUGUUUCUGCCCGUAUUUCCUCCAAUUGUAUCCGUCAUCUGACCUUUUCUGCUCCCUUAUACUCUGAUUGUAUUGGUUUCCACUAUUGUUCUG
rnacentral:lncRNA from 1 species